UGGGGAAUCUUGCACAAUGGAGGAAACUCUGAUGCAGCGACGCCGCGUGAGCGAUGAAGCCCUUCGGGGUGUAAAGCUCUUUCGGCAGGGAAGAUUAUGACGGUACCUGCAGAAGCAGCUGCGGCUAACUACGUGCCAGCAGCCGCGGUAAUACGUAGGCAGCAAGCGUCGUUCGGAGUUACUGGGCGUAAAGGGUGCGUAGGCGGCUUUUUAAGUUUGGUGUGAAAUCUCCCGGCUCAACUGGGAGGGUGCGCCGAAUACUGAGAGGCUAGAGUGCGGGAGAGGAAAGUGGAAUUCCUGGUGUAGCGGUGAAAUGCGUAGAUAUCAGGAGGAACACCGGUGGUGUAAACGGCUUUCUGGACCGUAACUGACGCUGAUGCACGAAAGCGUGGGUAGCAAACAGGAUUAGAUACCCUGGUAGUCCACGCCCUAAACGAUGCAUAUUUGGUGUGGGCCAUUCAUUUGGUCUGUGCCGGAGCUAACGCGUUAAAUAUGCCGCCUGGGGAGUACAGUCGCAAGGCUGA
rnacentral:rRNA from 1 species